AAUAGCUGCCGCAAGUUUCGGACACAACCUAAUUACAAAGCUUUUUUCACAGAGAGAGAGAGAGAGAGAGAGAGAGAGAGAGAUGGUGUUGAGGAAGCUGUGGCACCAUAGGAGCAUAGUAAGAGAAGCAUGGCAUCGAACCAUAGCGGUGGCCAACUUCCUCUGCGGCCUUCACGUCACCAACACUUACCUCUGUACUGCCGCCCUUGCCUACGGUCCCAGCAUGCUCCCGACCUUCAAUCUUACCGGGGAUCUGUUCCUUGCCGAGCGGCUCUCCACCCGUUUCGGCAAGGUGCGACCUGGAGACGUCGUCCUCGUACGGUCCCCUGAAGAUCCUCGAAAGUUGAUAGUUAAGCGCUUGCUGGGAAUGGAGGGUGAUUCAGUCACGUACGUUGUCGACCCCAAGAACAGUUCUAGGUGCGACAUUGUCGUGGUUCCAAAGGGACACGUUUGGAUUGAGGGAGACAACAUCUACGCCUCAAGAGAUUCAAGACAAGUUGGGCCUGUUCCUUAUAGCCUACUCGAAGGCAAAGCAUUUUGCAAGAUAUGGCCACCUAAAGAAUUUGGUUUCUUGGGACAGAGUGGAAUGAAGAAUCCAGAUCUCUAAGGAUCCAAGAAAAAUGGCCAAUGCCAUUACCUUCCCAGUGGUCCUAACGUGAAGCCCUGCAAAGUUUAAAGUUAUCAAUUUCUAAAGCUAUUCGGACUUAAAUGGAAAUAAAAGUUUUAAUGGUUUAGUAGCAAAUGGAGAUCGUGAAGAACUUGCAUGGUUUCUCACCGUUUGCUUGUUCCUAUCUCACUUUAUUUUCUUUUAUCUUUCCUAACCUGAGAAAAUAAUUUGUCAAAUGCAUGUUGCAGGCUUUUGGUAGCUGCUUUCAGUGAUCUGAUACACUAUUGAGUUAGUUCUGUUUGGUGCCUAGCACAUUUUUUCUUGUUAAUCACAUGAGCCAUGUACCAUCUCCCCUACAUCUGCGGUGCAUUAGAGUUAACCUGUUUGGAGAGCCGAAUU